GAUGGCCUGACUUGUCUGCUGUGGUGUGGCAGCCUCACCUAACAGAAGCUGAAUUUCUGGCUAAUAAUUUAAUGAAGGCUUCGCUGUAUUUCCAAUUACUGGAAAAAGCCAUGAUUCUUUUUUGCUACGUGUUAUAAAAUCAGCCCUUCAUACUCUACAGAGCCAGGGGAGAGCACCUGAUCCCUCUCUUUGAGCUCCUAAUCGGUCCUGCAGCAAAGCCUGCCUGCUCCUCAGCGAUGUGCUGGGCUGUACAGAGGUGCUGCCCACGGGGCCAGGAGCCAGCUCCCAAAUGGAGAAGGGUACCAGAGGUAGAGCACCACACCCAGGGCACCUACCCAGCCCCAGGACCCUCCUUGCCCUGCGCAAGGCUGAGGUAGAUGGAGCUGGCGCAGACUGGCGCCACAAAUAAGGUAGCGUGGGAGGAAAACUUGGAAGGACAAAUUACCGUGAGUAUUGAUUCCCCCGGCUGCUUGCAGAGGGAUUUCAUUUUGCAACACUGCCAAUGACAUUAUGUGCAGGAUCUUGUCCAUGGCUGGUUUGGUGGCAUUAAGAGAAUUACUUUGGCCUAAUGAAUAGAAAUAAGAAUAUUUCAACCUCCUCCCUGGAAAGUAAUGGUGGAUCAUCAAGUGUGCAGCCAAGUUCAGGUCUAGUCACUUGCCAAGUGAAUGCAAAUGACGGGUUGUUUUAUUUAAUGGAGACCAUGGUGUGUUGGCCAAAACUGUUGUCUCUUUUCUCUGUGGAUUGCCCUCCCCACCCUGCUUCUAAAUCAGACCUUGUCUCUGCUCCCGACUGGCUUCUUUUUUCAAGCAGAAGAGAUUUUUUGCUGAUUCUUGCACUGAAAUCUGUCUGUAGAUUGCACCAAAACUCCUAAAUCAGCUGUAUUUUAUGCUGUGCUAUGGGGGGACGCAGGAGCUGGUGUGCUAGUGGUGGUCACCGCCAGCCUGCAGUGGAGCCAGAGCUCCCUGUCUUCUUCCAGCUCGGAGACGGUGAGAUGCUCCAUCGAUGUCACUGCUGCCCAUCCCACCGUGACCAAGGAGACAUUGUGGAGCCCCAUACCCUGGCAUCGGGCCCUUCACUGGCACAGUGGCGCGGGAGCACCUGGGCUGCAAUGCGCUUGGGUUCGGACAAACCACUUGCUCUUGCAGCACACCAACACCUCUGCUGUUCAGCUGCCUUUCAGCUGGGCGCCUGCCAGCUGCUCCCCUCCAAAGCCCAUCCAUCCUCCACCGGCACAGCCCAUGGAAGUGCCGCUUCCCUGAGCUGCUCCUGUUAACAAGAUGUUUGCAGGGGUAAAAGCCCCUGCGAAGGGCCAGCCCCUCAGCUGCUGUACAUACACACAGCCUGAAUGCCAGGCAGGUGCACUGACCUCCAGGGUCCGGGCAGCGCAAAAGCAGGGCUGCACCCCCAGCCCAGCACAGGGUCCAGCAAACCAAGGCCAGGGGCACUGGGGACAUGGGGGAGUCCCGUCCGGUCAGGGCCUUAAUUUAGUGCUACGCUUACAGUGACUUAUUAAACUCUUUGAACACAGGCUGUGCCUCACCAUGGCUCACAAAUUAGAUCAGCAUGAGACAAAAUACUUACCAUCAUGAACAAACAUUUUCAGAUGGGAUGCAGCGUUUUGCUUCAUACAACAGUGAUGAUUUGUAACAGUAAUGGCUGAGGGUGGUUUUUUUCCCCGUUCUUUUGUAAAAACCAGAAAGUGUUUGCAAAGUAAACUCUGACAUUUCAGCUACAGACCAGUCACCUUUCAAGUGAAAUGGCUGUGAGCACUCACUGGCAGUUAAUCCCUGCAUGGAGAUUUUUGCUUAAAGAGCUGGAGGGAGGUGGGGAUUUUGUUCAUUUGUUCAGAAUCAGGGUUCUGUCCUAAUUAAUGUUUUAGUUGACAGGGAGAAUGCGUUUCUGCUUUGUUUCGCCAAGUGUUUUGAUGUACGAGCAGAGAUGUUGUGUGAGAUGUGUGUUUGCAAAAGAAGCUGACAGGAAAGAUCAAAACUGAUUUGUUACGUUCGGAGAGAAAGAGGCUCCAUAACCGCAAAACAGAGCAGGGAGUGACUGAAGGCCCCAGACACCAGCAGUUUGGAACUGAAAUUGUGGCUGUAACUGGUGACCAAAGUCCUGUUGAACUUGCGGAAGCCACGGUUUCACGCCAGGUGUCUGUCAUGGCCCAGUCCUCCCUCCCAGUCCCAGUUUCUGACCUGCCCCAGACAACGGAACUCAGCACAGCUCUGGGCUUUUCUCCUGCGGCAUGAGCCCAAGGGCUUCUCCUGCUCCAAGGCACAGCCCUCCUGGACUGAUUGUCAUCCACAGCAACACCACGGCUGGGUCUGAAGUUGGUGCCAGCUGAGGCGCUUCAGCUGAGGUGCACGGAUGUGGAGCUGGGUGCUCUCGCCUCUCCAAAGAGCCAAGGCACCUUGUCCUGACACUGGUGUGAGCCGGCACUGUGCUUGAGCUCAUCUCCCACUCGGUGCCUGGAGUCACUGCCCCAGCCCUGUGGGAUGCCGUGCUGGGAGCGGGAUUUGGAGAUGCAGCACAAAAGCGUGGAGGGACGUGGUGAGCCUCAGACGUCCCCAGGCUGAGCGACGGGCUCCUUCAGCAAAGGAUGGAGCCUGCGGAGGCCUCUUGCUGAGAAGUUGUUGUUCAAGGUGCUUUUCAUAAUAUUUAAAAAAUGUGUUUGCUUCCUCUCGCAAAUGUUCAAACAUCUUUAAAGUGUCUGUGGUGCCAAGCUGCUUCUCACCCUGUUUUAAGAGAAAAUAAGCUUUCUUUAAGGAAAAGGAGCCACAAAAAGCGCAGCAAGCCCAAAGUUAACAGUGAGCAGACCGAAACUAAAUUAACACCAGCAAGACUUCAGCUGCCCCUCCAAAAUAUUGUGUCUCACGGCAAAGGGUCCGGGAAAAGAUGGGAGAACAGAUUGUUUUAGCGCAUCUUCACGGUGUCUCUGCGGCACAGAUGACGCUCAGGCUGGGUCCCCUUCCCCUUGCCAAGCCUGCAGUGGGGACUCCCAGCCCCUCCAAAAGUGGACAGUGGGAGGCACAGGCUUGGCAGUGCCAUGAGCACCUGUGGGUCCAGCGCUGUGGGGGGAUGCGACUCAGGAUGCUGCAGCCAGCCAGUUUGGAGAAGCAUCACCUGCAAAACCAGAGCAUGAGCCUGAAAAAGGAGCCUGGUGGUGAGAAGGAGGCAAGGGACAGGGAAGAAGAGCCUGGCCUUUCUCCACUGCCAUAAAGGCGGAGGCAAGAGAGCAGGAGCAUUGGCCAUCGGCCGUGGUGUCACAGCUCCGUGUGGAUUACGUUGGCCAGCUUCAGUGAUGGAAAUAGGCAGCUAACAGUGAGUUCCUCUUUGUAACAGAUAAUAGUCAAAACAGCUUGAAAACUAUUCAUAAUGAGAGCUCUG